UAUUUAUUAUCCAUUAUUUUAGCUUUAGUCGUUACAGUAAUUUUGUUUUGGAUAGAGUAGAGUCAUUCUUUUAGUACCGUCUUCGGGACACCUAAUAAAUUUAAAAAAAAAUAUUGUCAAAAAACGGCCCUGUUCGGUAAAUUUUUUUUAAAUAGUUUUCUUAUUAAAUAAUAAAAAAUUUGAUAACAAAACUGAAAAACAUGUUCGGUAAGUUAAUAUUAUUUUUAAUUUUUUAAAAUUUUUAAAACACCAUUUUCAUAUUUUAAAAAAAAUUUUAAACCAAUUUUUAUUUCAACCCUCUCAUGCAAAGAGAGCUUUCUCAAGCUUCAAUGGCUUCUCCUAGCUCUCUCCAAGUUUUCUUCAGUUUGUGUUGCUAAUAAGGAAAAAAAAAACCAUUGAAAUUUUAGUAAUGAAAUCGAAGCAAACUCCUUUCAGAGUAGUUGGCUUCUUCACUCCUCACCCCUUCUUCCAAUCCGUAAGACUAACUCAGUUUUGUUUUCUUUUUCUAUUAUUAUUAGUUUUCAAUUUGAUUUUCGGUCUUUGUUUGUGUGUGGUUAUGGAAUUUCUAGUUUUGGGGUUCCGAAAGAAGAUUCUCAGAAGGAAGGUUCGGAGAAAGGGUCGAGCAUUUCGCUCUCGGACUUCCUCCAACGGAAGCUCAACGACGAUUCUGGACUCCCCAGGACAGUCAAUAACAUCUUGACUUUGAAGCCAAUAAACUCCAUCUAUAUGUAUGUAAAGGAUAAGUCUGAUUUGAUAUCAUAAAAAAGUGCACUUGCGGACAAGAUCAAUGUAGAGCUGCUCAAGUCUCUUGUAACCCUGACAGGCAAGACAAAGGUAAUGCUUCCUUGAGUUGUCCAGUAUUCCUUUGAGUAUCUCCACCAUGGCUGUCAGAGGCCAAAUAUUCAUAGAGAUGUUAAGAGCAGUAACAUUCUGUUGGACCAGAAUUGGAAGCCUAGGAUUGCUGUUUUUGGAUUGGCUAAGAUUGUUCAAACAGGUGGGGAUUGGACUCGUGUCAUUGCUGGGACACUUGGCUACAUUGCUCCAGAGUAUGCAUACACCUACAAAAUCAAUGAGAAGAGUGAGGUUUAUAGCUUUGGAGUGGUGUUAAUGGAGUUGGUCACAGGAAAGAGGCCAGUGGAGCCAGAGUUUGGAGAGAACAAGAACAUAGUUCAUUGGGUUUAUAGAAAAUUCAAGAGCCAAGAGAGUGUGACUGAUUUGGUGGACUCAACCAUAUCAGAGGCUCAAAAAGAAGAUGCCCUUAAAGUGAUGAAAAUUGCAGUGCAUUGUACAUCACAGGUUCCAACUCUAAGGCCCUCCAUGAGAACAGUAGUUCAUAUGUUGGAAGAGGUCGAACCUUGCCAACUCACUUCCGUAGGUGUUAUUAAAGAAGGUGAAAAUGGGCAUGGACAAUUGAACAAUGGCACCAAGAUGAUGUUAGAGAAGCCAAACUACUAAUCAGCUUUGGAUUUUUUUUCUUAUUAGUUAGAGAGUUUGUAUGUACCAUUAUGCAACGGCUUAAACAAUGGGUAUCAUAGUCGUUUGCCCUGUUUUGUAUAGGCUCAGCUGUAUAUGAACUAUUUUGGAAGAAGUAAUGAUAAUAAUAUUAGUAGCAAAGCAUUCCAUUAA